rnacentral:rRNA from 1 species
UACGUAGGGGUGCGAGCGUUAAUCGGAAUUACUGGGCGUAAAGCGUGCGCAGGCGGUUGUGCAAGACAGAUGUGAAAUCCCCGGGCUCAACCUGGGAAUUGCAUUUGUGACUGCACGGCUAGAGUGUGUCAGAGGGGGGGUAGAAUUCCACGUGUAGCAGUGAAAUGCGUAGAGAUGUGGAGGAAUACCGAUGGCGAAGGCAGCCCCCUGGGAUAACACUGACGCUCAUGCACGAAAGCGUGGGGAGCAAACAGG